AAGUAUUCUUCGGUGCAGCCAGCGCUUCCACAGCGCGGCAGCCCAAACCUUACACACUGUGAUUAGUUUUUUUACUAUUUACUUUGGCUGCGCAAGUGGUCAAAGGUCUUAAACACAAAGAUUUAUAUCUUUUUUUACAAAAUUUAGUCAAUGAAGUUUUAAUACUAUAAUCUUCA
rnacentral:misc_RNA from 1 species